rnacentral:lncRNA from 1 species
GUAACAACAGAGCUGGUCUGAAGGAUGAGGAGGAGUUGUUUCCAAUGGGUCCAAUUUGUCCCGAAGCCGCGGAGGAAGGGUCCUGUGAAUACCUCCAAGCUCCGCCCCCUCCGAGCCCCGCCUACAGGGCUGGGCUUCAUUGCACGUGCUCACUCGGCUCCUUCGCGACCUGCCUCCUUGGGAAGACUCAUUGUUGGGGCGGGGGGAUACGAGGAGUCUUAGCGAACACUGGCCAGGGAUAAGUCAAAAUAAAGAGAGGCUCCUGAAG